rnacentral:rRNA from 1 species
UACGUAGGGGGCGAGCGUUGUCCGGAUUUAUUGGGCGUAAAGAGCUCGUAGGCGGUUUGGUAAGUCGGGUGUGAAAACUCGGGGCUUAACCCCGAGCCUGCAGUGGAUACGGGCAGACUAGAGGUAGGUAGGGGAGAAUGGAAUUCCCAGUGUAGCGGUGAAAUGCGUAGAUAUUGGGAGGAACACCAGUGGCGAAGGCGGCUCACUGGACUGGUACUGACGCUGAUGCGCGAAAGCGUGGGGAGCAAACGGGG